UGGGGAAUAUUGCACAAUGGGCGCAAGCCUGAUGCAGCCAUGCCGCGUGUAUGAAGAAGGCCUUCGGGUUGUAAAGUACUUUCAGCGGGGAGGAAGGGAGUAAAGUUAAUACCUUUGCUCAUUGACGUUAUCCGCAGAAGAAGCACCGGCUAACUCCGUGCCAGCAGCCGCGGUAAUACGGAGGGUGCAAGCGUUAAUCGGAAUUACUGGGCGUAAAGCGCACGCAGGCGGUCUGUCAAGUCGGAUGUGAAAUCCCCGGGCUUAACCUGGGAACUGCAUUCGAAACUGGCAGGCUAGAGUCUUGUAGAGGGGGGUAGAAUUCCAGGUGUAGCGGUGAAAUGCGUAGAGAUCUGGAGGAAUACCGGUGGCGAAGGCGGCCCCCUGGACAAAGACUGACGCUCAGGUGCGAAAGCGUGGGGAGCAAACAGG
rnacentral:rRNA from 1 species